CGGGACGUAGCUUAGUCCGGCUAAAGUGCGCGUCUGGGGGGCGCGAGAUCGGAGGUUCGAAUCCUCUCGUCCCGA
rnacentral:tRNA from 1 species